CCUUGGGUGGUUUUUGGGGUACGUUUGGGCCUCACCUGCCCAGGUGUGCCCCUCCCAGCCUGAAGAUCCAGGUGUGGGGUUCACCUGAGGAAGGGAUUUUGGGGUGUCCCUGUGGGGCUGUGAACCCACCCUCAGGUCUGGGAGUUUUUGGGGUACCUUGGGUGGUUUUUGGGGUACCUUGGGGCAUUUUUGGGGUACCUUGGGAUAUUUUUGGGGUGCGUUGGGGCCUCACCUGGCCAGGUGUGUCCCUCGCAGCCCAAGGUGGUGUGGCUGAAGAACCAGGUGGCCAUCGGGGAGGACCCCAAAUUCCUGGCCAGGCACAGCCAGGGGGUCCUGACGCUGCUGAUCCGCAAGCCGGGACCCUUCGACGGCGGCACCUACACCUGCAGGGCUGUCAACGAGCUGGGCGAGGCCCUGACCGAGUGUCGGCUCGAGAUUCGGGUGAUGGUGACAAAAAAAUGCCCAGCACCAUCGUGCACGGCCGGGAGAAGGAAAAGAAGAUUGUGUGGGUGACAAAAAACCCCCAAAAAAUAAAGAAUCUGAGCAAUUCCCCAGAGUCUGUGCUUCGUUUUGGGGAGGAAUUUUCCCCCUCAAAUUCCCCACUCUUUUCCCCUCACAUUUCCUUUUUUUUCCCCUCAAAUUUCCCACAUUUUUCCCCUCUCAUUCCCAACUCUUUUCCCCUCACAUUUCCUUUUUUUCCCCUCACAUUUCCUUUUUUUUCCCCUCUCAUUCCCAACUCUUUUCCCCCCACAUUUCCUUUUUUUUUCCCUCAAAUUUCCCACAUUUUCCCCCUC
rnacentral:lncRNA from 1 species